CGGCCCCUCUGAUUCUGGCUCGGCGAUCGGUAUAGGCCAGAAUCCUUCGGCCGGCCGCUCUUGCGGCCGGCCUUUUUUA
rnacentral:ncRNA from 1 species